CGGAGAGUUUGAUCCUGGCUCAGAUUGAACGCUGGCGGCAUGCCUUACACAUGCAAGUCGAACGGCAGCACGGAGCUUGCUCUGGUGGCGAGUGGCGAACGGGUGAGUAAUAUAUCGGAACGUACCCUGGAGUGGGGGAUAACGUGGCGAAAGUUACGCUAAUACCGCAUACGAUCUACGGAUGAAAGUGGGGGAUCGCAAGACCUCAUGCUCGUGGAGCGGCCGAUAUCUGAUUAGCUAGUUGGUAGGGUAAAAGCCUACCAAGGCAUCGAUCAGUAGCUGGUCUGAGAGGACGACCAGCCACACUGGAACUGAGACACGGUCCAGACUCCUACGGGAGGCAGCAGUGGGGAAUUUUGGACAAUGGGCGAAAGCCUGAUCCAGCAAUGCCGCGUGAGUGAAGAAGGCCUUCGGGUUGUAAAGCUCUUUUGUCAGGGAAGAAACGGUGAGGGCUAAUAUCCCUUGCUAAUGACGGUACCUGAAGAAUAAGCACCGGCUAACUACGUGCCAGCAGCCGCGGUAAUACGUAGGGUGCAAGCGUUAAUCGGAAUUACUGGGGCGUAAAGCGUGCGCAGGCGGUUUUGUAAGUCUGAUGUGAAAUCCCCGGGCUCAACCUGGGAAUUGCAUUGGAGACUGCAAGGCU
rnacentral:rRNA from 1 species